rnacentral:rRNA from 1 species
GAUGAACGCUGGCGGCGUGCCUAAUACAUGCAAGUCGAGCGGACUUCUUAAGAGCUUGCUCUUAAGAAGUUAGCGGCGGACGGGUGAGUAACACGUAGGUAACCUGCCUAUAAGACUGGGAUAACUCCGGGAAACCGGGGCUAAUACCGGAUAACAUUUUGCACCGCAUGGUGCGAAAUUGAAAGGCGGCUUCGGCUGUCACUUAUAGAUGGACCUGCGGCGCAUUAGCUAGUUGGUGAGGUAACGGCUCACCAAGGCGACGAUGCGUAGCCGACCUGAGAGGGUGAUCGGCCACACUGGGACUGAGCAACGGCCCAGACUCCUACGGGAGGCAGCAGUAGGGAAUCUUCCGCAAUGGACGGAAGUCUGACGGAGCAACGCCGCGUGAGCGAUGAAGGCCUUCGGGUCGUAAAGCUCCGUUGUUAGGGAAGAACAAGUGCUAGUUGAAUAAGCUGGCACCUUGACGGUACCUAACCAGAAAGCCACGGCUAACUACGUGCCAGCCGCCGCCGUAAAAC